GUACUAUAAUAGAUUUUUCCUUUGAAAACAGUUUAAUACUUAUAAAAUGUAAUAGAGGGAAAUAGUGACACGUGAGUAACAAAAUGGGCGUAUCAAUUGGUCUAUGCUAUUUUUGGUGUUAUAAUUUUACCUAAUAUAAUAAGCAGCAACACUUUGUUAGUGAGACGGGCUUUCACCAUGUUGGCCAGGCUGGUCUGGAACUCCUGACCUCAGGUGAUCCGCCUGCCUCAGCCUUCCAAAGUGCUGGGAUUACAGGUGUGAGCCUCUGCGCCCGGCUGUGAUGUCUUGAUUGAUCAUAGGAUUUUUCUGGCUAUUCUAGCUACUUCCAAUUCGCUUCAGCCAAUUUAGUUGAAGUUUUAUCACUUGUGACUUCAGAGUCCUGGUUAAUAUCCUGUUGCCCUCAGGACAUGCAGGAUGGAGGAAGGCACCAGGGAGCCGAGGGAAGUGAGCAGAGAGGCAGUCACUUCAGGGCCACCAGCAUAGCCCCCGUCACUGUCCACAGACACAGGCCCUUCCCCUUCUCAUGGUUGAGCAGGCUCCACCUCACUUCCGUGUAUGACUUCAUAGACCGUUAGGUUCCGUGGUACCCUGGAGUCCACAGCUGCUGAAUCUGAAGGGCCAUCAGAAGACUGGCUUCUCCAUGAUGGUUUAUGGACUAAGGCAAAGAUGAGCAGAGCCAUGGCCCUCUUCUUUGUUCUCUGCUGGAUCCAAGAGUCGGGGGUCUCCCUAUGUUUCCCAGGCUGGCCUCGAACUCCUGACCUCAAGUGAUCCUCCCACCUCAGCCUCCCCGAGUGCUGGGAUUAAAGACGUGAGCCACGGCACCUGGCCUGAAUUUUCCUCAAAUUCAAAAAAUCCUGAUGAAGGUUUGGCUAAAAUCUUUGGUGAGUUACCCCACUCCCUGUGGAACCUCAGGCUGGAUUUGAAGAGUUGCGUGCAUGGUCCUCAUUGUCUCCCAGGUAACCUGUUCCCGCUGCUGUGAAGGGAAGGCAGGUGCUCUUCCUUGAGGCUAGAAUCUGUCUACGUGUCACAGUCUCAGGAAAUUAAGCAAAACAGAUGAUAAACACCUCAAAAGGACCCUACUGAGCAUCAGUGGAGCAGAGCAGGGCCAUGUGGGACUGCGGCGUCAGAUGCCACCUCACACUAGCUGUGACACACCUGCCUCGCCAGUUUCUGCUCUGAGGCCCCAAAGCCGAGCUGAACCUCCUCCAGGGGUUCUCAGCCCUAACUGAGCAUGAAAACCCCUGGGGCAAUCCUCUUUUUAACAAUUGAGACAUUCCACACACACCCCACAUCAGAUUUUGGGGUGUGGGGAUAGACCUUCACAUUUGUAGUUUUCUAACCCUCCAGGGGACACUAGGCUGAGACUCAUUGGUCUCCACUCUGAACCUUCCACUGAACAUGUGAGAAAAACUAAGGCCCAGGGAAGUCUUUAGCAGAGAGCUGAGACGGAGAAAAGGGUUCUGAACCACAGCUGUCUGCUGAAGGAAGCUGUCCAAAGGCCAGUGAAGUCUCUCCUGAGGGUGCCUGGGCUGUGCAUCAGGAGUGAAGGUUGAGGGUCACCUUAGGUGUGAGAAGGAGCAACUGGGAGAGUGGCGCUGAUGCUUCCCCCCGGGUUAGGAGGCAUUUGGAUCACAGAGCGAUGCCUGUUCAUUCCUGCUUGCAAGGGAGCAGAUCUCUCGACACCCGAUGGGCCUCUAUUCCGUUCCGGCAGCUGUCCGUGUCAGGAGCGCUGGGCUUGCUCCUCCCCACGGGAGCCAUCACAGAGGCCUCGGGCAGUCUGCAUAGACAACUGCCUGGCAGGUGACCAGGAGGGGAUGCAUGAGCAGAUGCAGGUAGCACUCGCAGUCCCCCUAGCUGUGCCCUCAGCACCUGCUGUCUAGGAGGCAGAAGCCUUGUUCUCGGCCUUGCAGGUGACCCCAGUGUCUCUGAAUUCGGCCCCAUAUGUGUAGGAGGGGAGUGAUUGCAUCUGAAGAUGGGAGUCUGGUUGGGGGUUUGGGAAGCUCCCAUCACCCCUCAAGAGUCCACUGACCAGCCCAGCUCACACCAGGUGGGCCUUGGCACUGGAGGCCACGGCUCAACUCUGCAGUUCCCUCUGGGCAGCAUUUCCAGGGACUCGUAGGUCAGCAUGGUCAUCAAGGACAGGUGGUGAGAGCAGCUCCUCAUUGUCCUGGUGACCCCGAUGGUUCAUUUUCUGGUGUCUCUGUGGUGAGCUCCUGUUACAUCAAGCGAGUGGAAACCACCGAGGACCAACAGCCCUGGAAAUGCACUGAGAAUGCAGGAUGAGUGGGCUUUGUGAGGACUGUUUUCUGUGACUUAGCAAGGAAAGCCUGGAAGGGAAAGUAAAACUGCUUCUUCCCAGGGAAGCCAGAAACCUGAGAACUUAAAAGGGAAGGAGAACUUAAUAUAUUUCAAAAAUGUAACCCUUGUGAAUUAGCAACAGCUUUAUAAACAAAGAGAUUUCCGAGCUUAUAGAAUCUAUUCUGCUUUGUUUCUGCCCCCAUGGCUCCUACCCCUGUUUUUGUGGGUACAAUUUUCAUAUAGAACAUUUUUACACAAGCUUCAAAACUCUCUGAGGACAGCUUUCCCCUUUGUGUCUGUCGGGUCCCAGGCAGUCACAUCCCAGGAAGUGCUGGGGUUGGGCUCCUUGCUCCACAUCCUUCUUCAGUGGCACGAAGCGUGGGGUGGAGUGUGUGAGUCAUGUGUGAUCUUGGUGUGGGCUAUGGCUGGUCUGCAGCACCCCUUCAAUGACUGCUUCAAGGGCUUUUCAUGAUGCUUGUAGCUCAUGAGCUAGUGUUUCCUAGAUGCUGUUUCCAGGUGUCUUGCAUGUCACACACUGGCCUACCAGGGCUGGAGUGAGAUCAUGAGCGCCAGAUUGUUGGUGAAGGAAGUUGACAGAGACAUCGAAUGUCGGUGAACAGGAGUGACCUUGGGUCUCAAUAAAUACUGUGGUCAACUGAAUCCAGAACCCACCCUUACCAGCAGGGCCCACUUCUUCCCCAGCAGGCCGAGCUCUUCCCCUCCUGUCUUCCCUGGCCCUUGCUUUGUAGCUCUGUGUGGCUGUGUCAUGUCUGGUUGUAUCUGUAUAUACUUCUGCCUCUCCCGCUAUCUAGAUGGCUCGGGGAGGCACACCACACACCAGGUCACCUUCCUCUCUGAACCCCCAGCACCUCAUACUGUUUCUGUGCAGAGAUAAGGCUGGGUGAAAGCUUGUGUGAAUGAUCUGAAGUCUUCUACUCUAGGCCAGUCUCCAGGAGCAUUAUGAUCUUUAGGAGGGUGGGCUUGGUUCCUCUGUACAAUAAUGGGUCAUAAAACUGAGUGGUCAAGAUCAUCCCGGUGAGGGCAGUCCGUGUGUUGCCAUAGUUGCUGUACCGGUUAAGAAUGCACCUGGCUGCAAUUUCCUGAAAACCUGACGUAUAGUGGCUUAAACAAAGAGUGGUUUAUUUUCCUUCUGUCAUAGCAAUCUGGGGGAGGCCACUGUGGCUUUGGCGCAGGAGGUCGGGAAAGGCCCGCUUCUCUGAUAUCAUUGGGGGCCUCCCCAGUGCUUGUGUGGCAGAAUGACAAGAGGAAGAAGAAGGAGAAUUAUGGCACUGAGUAUCAUGAGAUUUGGGGUCAUAUAUCUUUAGUGGGCGGUGUUUGCUGCCCCAAAUGUCUCAUGCCAUUAAAAUGUUCUGGAAAUGAUUUAGGUAGUUGGAGUUUCCUUCCCAAAGACAAGGCAUUUACAGCAUGAUGUCCAAUAUCCAUUGAGUUUGUGUCAUGCAUUCAUUGUAUUCAUAGUCUGCUUUAGGUACUUAGCAAAAUAUUGCUGAUAUUAACAUGCCUUUGUUUGCUUCACUGGAGAUGAAAUUGUGCUCCAAGUGUUUUCCAAGGUUCCGUAUGACCCAUCAUUUGAUGAAACAAGAACAGCAGUCAGAUCCAUUACAAAGAGAGACACACAAAAAACACAAAUCUCUCAAUGCUUAUGCAUAUUGUCUGUCAACAGACUAUGUGAAAAUGAGCUUAGCCCCUGGUGUUGUGUUGGAACUUCAGAUGCUUGCAGACACUUCAUGAAUGCUCUGUGACACUCAGAAUAGGCUAUUCCCAACAGAAGAGCUUGAACAAUGCUGCAUUUGCAUCAGGUUCAAAUGAGCGAGAGGAACAUUUGGCUAAAAUAUUUGGAACCAGCAUUGCUUGGAAUUCUCCUAAACCAGAAUAUUUCCUUGGCAGUGUGGACAAAAUUCCUGAUAAAGAUCACCUUUCAGAGGAGAAGAAUUUUAAAGAAUCCUGUCUGUUCGACAGGGAUUUAAGAGAGCAGUUAACUACUAUAGAUAAAGAAACACUUCAAGGAGCAGCUAAACCAGAUGCUCACUUUAGGACUAUGCCCUGCGGGCAGCUUCUGCACUUCCUGCAGAGGAACACCAUCAUCGCCGCCGUCUCAGGGGUGGCCAUCCUCAUGGCCAUCGUGCUGUUGCUGCUUGGGUUGGCCUCAUACAUCAGGAAGAAACAGCCAUCAUCUCCUCUGGCAAACACGACAUAUAAUAUUUUUAUAAUGGAUGGAAAGACAUGGUGGCACAAUUCUGAAGAAAAAAAUUUCACAAAACUUGCAAAAAAACAGAAACAGUUGAAGAGCAGCUCCUGUGUCUAAGCCAGGUCGUGGGGCCGUCAAACCAGGACUUGAAACCACAAUGCGAGGACAUUCUCCAUCUGCGCACCACAGGGAGGCAAUUCCAUUUCUGCCCGGGAGGUGUAUUCUACAAAAACGUCUGCUUCCCAUCCCAAUUUGAAUGGACCAAGAAAAACUGCUUUACCAUAGGACACUUGUGGCAAUAUGGCACCGAUGGCUGGCGUCGGUGAACCCGACAGACUAUGGAUUUAUCAUUUAAUAAAGCAUUGAUUCAUUUUUUCAGUCAUUCAUUGAACAGAUAUUAAUAGACCACCUCACAUGCUGACAAUAUCAAAAUACAAUGAGGAAACUAACAGUGACCCAGGCAUGCAUUCUUCCCCGAGCAAGAUCACAGUCCAUGGUGUGAGCACAACCAUACUAAAUAGCUUUUAUGGGAGGUGGGAGUACAGAAAGUAUUAUAUCUGCAAAGAAACUGCUAAGAAUUGUGGGAGCGCCCCAGGAGGUGAUUUCCUGCUUGCGUGACCAGCACAAAGAAAUGGGGUAAUUGAGAGUGUCAUGAAGUGGGGUUAUUUAUUUAUUGAGUC
rnacentral:lncRNA from 1 species